AUUGAACGCUGGCGGCAGGCCUAACACAUGCAAGUCGAGCGGAUGACGGGGGCUUGCUCCUUGAUUCAGCGGCGGACGGGUGAGUAAUACCUAGGAAUCUGCCUGAUAGUGGGGGACAACGUUUCGAAAGGAACGCUAAUACCGCAUACGUCCUACGGGAGAAAGCAGGGGACCUUCGGGCCUUGCGCUAUCAGAUGAGCCUAGGUCGGAUUAGCUAGUUGGUGAGGUAAUGGCUCACCAAGGCGACGAUCCGUAACUGGUCUGAGAGGAUGAUCAGUCACACUGGAACUGAGACACGGUCCAGACUCCUACGGGAGGCAGCAGUGGGGAAUAUUGGACAAUGGGCGAAAGCCUGAUCCAGCCAUGCCGCGUGUGUGAAGAAGGUCUUCGGAUUGUAAAGCACUUUAAGUUGGGAGGAAGGGCAGUAAGCUAAUACCUUGCUGUUUUGACGUUACCGACAGAAUAAGCACCGGCUAACUCUGUGCCAGCCGCCGCGGUAACAC
rnacentral:rRNA from 1 species